rnacentral:lncRNA from 1 species
AUAACCAUGCAGCCUGUAGCAGAAGGCUUUUAUAUGGCCAAACCUACCACAAUAAUGACAUCUCCAUCGCUGAAAUUUCUUCUUCUGAAGGUUACUCAUCCUGGUUCCCUGAUGUUGAGACAUCGGGUGUGACCUCCGCUUGAAUUUCUAAACUUUAGCUUUUGAGCGUUUGAGUUCAGCUGAGGAUUUUUUCACAAAGCCUAAACCAGACAUGGUUCCAG